rnacentral:lncRNA from 1 species
AGACUAUUUGCUUCUCCAGAUAUAGUCACUUAUCACCGAUAUAGAAAUUCACCCAAUAAUUUAAUUGUGAUUUGGAGCCAAAUAAUAUGUAGCUUCCAUCUCAAGCCACAACAGUCAUUAAUUUGAAUGUCAAGUUGUCAACUAAGCAAAUAUAUAAACCUGUAAUGAACAAAUUUUAAAAUGAAUUGACUUGAUUCCUUCAAAGGCAAACACGUUAAACAACAUUCCCUUCGGCCACCUUUAGAUUUAAAAAAAAUCUAACAUUUCCAAUGAUCUAAAUCAAUAUCAUGUUGAAAUAUUACCCAAAUCCUUUAGUUAUCCACCGUCAUUGGUGAAAUAUUUUAAGAAAAUAAUAAAUAAAUAAGUUGGGUUUACUCAAGCCACAACAUAAAACAUACUUGAAGAAUCAGUAGAAUAAUACCUCAAAAAAGGGAGCGAAUUGGGGGUUAAAGGUCACUGAACUUUCCCUCUCUCUAUUUCUGUCGGACUAUGGAAGCAGUCUCACCGUGGGUCUGGGUCGAGGCGGCGGCGAGGGAGGUGGAGGAGUAGUAUUACCCAAAUCCUUUAGUUAUCCACCGUCAUUGGUGAAAUAUUUUAAGAAAAUAAUAAAUAAAUAAGUUGGGUUUACUCAUCUUAUACAAAUUCAUCUAAUUAUAAUAGCCAAGAGGAAAUCAGAAAAAACUUUCCCUCUCUCUAUUUCUGUCGGACUAUGGAAGCCAGUCUCACCGUGGGUCUGGGUCGAGGCGGCGGCGGGGGAGGUGGAGGAGUAGGAUGAAGAAGAAGGGUCGGUGCUCGUUUUCGUCGGUGGAAAAUUGAAAGGAGCGAGAGAAGGGGAACAGGUAUAUGGAAGUGAAAUAGGAGCGAGGGUAGUGAAGAAGAGGAAGAUGAAGAGAGAAGAGAGGAACGGUUGGGAAAUUGAAAGGAGCGAGAGAAGGGGAGCAGGUAUAUGGAACUGAAAUAGGGGUGAGGAAGAGGAAGAGGAAGAGGAAGAGGAAGAGAGGAACGGUUUUGGCUCGAUUCCAAUUUCGGGUUAGUUUUUGAGCGAGUUAACUCGUGUUGGAAUUUUAAAUUAAG